CAAACGUUUUCAUGUUUGCAAUUUGUUUAAACCUAAAUUAAUGAAUUGGGCUUUUGACCUUUUGGAUUCAUUCUUUGGGUUUUUAAUUCAUUAGUUCCUAUCUUUCUCCGUCGUAGAAACAAAGGCAGAACCCCACACAAACACACUGUUACCCCCCAAAAUCAACAACCCCUUCGUCAUUGUGAACCCACGGCCCCCUAUCGUCCAACUCCGGCAGCCACUGCCGACCCGCCCGUAAAUAUCUCUCGCUCGCUGAACAUGCAAUGGAAUACAAUUUCAAAGAAGGAAUUUCGCAAUGGCCGCAUGGAACAUGGGGAGAAUGAAGCUUAGGGAGAAGAUCGAGAUUGAAGGUGGAGGAUUUGGUAGAGGAAAUAUAAGAGAGCUAUUUGUUAAAGUUGCUAGAGUUAUCAAGGAAGAUAAUAACAUAGCAAGUGAAGAUAAAUCCAAUAGUGAUACGAUACGCUAAAAGUAAGUAUAGAUUCUUUGAACAAAUGUGGUUAAAGUUUAAACAUACAAUAUGGUACACUAUUAUUGUUUGUACCUACAGUUGUCUAUAUUUGCAUAUAAUACCGGCUGUUGUA